CGCAUCUGUGCAUGCAGCAUAUCAAUAAGCGGAGGAAAAGAAACUAACAAGGAUUCCCCUAGUAACGGCGAGUGAAGCGGGAAGAGCUCAAAUUUGAAAUCUUAAAGGGUUUCCCUUUACGAAUUGUAGUUUAAAGAAGUGUUUUCUGUUGAGGUUUUGGUAAAAGUUCCUUGGAAUAGGACAUCAUAGAGGGUGAGAAUCCCGUAUUUGACCUUUACUUUCAACUUUGUGAUACACUUUCAAAGAGUCGGAUUGUUUGGGAAUGCAGUCCAAAAUGGGUGGUAAAUUUCAUCUAAGGCUAAAUAUUGGCGAGAGACCGAUAGCGAACAAGUACCGUGAGGGAAAGAUGAAAAGAACUUUGAAAAGAGAGUUAAACAGUACGUGAAAUUGUCAAAAGGGAAGCGUUUGACACCAGUGUUGUUUUUCUGAAAAUCAAUUAAAGAACUGUUUAUGCUAAGUUGUUUAGACUUUAUCAGCUAACUGCUUAGUUUUGAGCUUUUCUUUAAUGCACUUUUCAGUUAACAAGUCAACAUCAAUUUCUUUUGCUGUAAAAAAGCUUGAGGAAGGUGGCUUGAGAUUCGUCCUUAAGUGUUUAUAGCCUCUUGCCUAUGCAGUCGGAGAGAUUGAGGUCUGCAGCGUAGAUCCUUCGGGGCUAAAUGCAUUUGUGCUAAGUUAUAGCAUUUUAUAGACAACUUGUUGACUAUGAUUUGUCUUGUAGCUUACUCGCUUAUGUUAUUUUACCUACGCUUAGGAUGUUGAGUCAUCACACAUCUCU
rnacentral:rRNA from 1 species